rnacentral:rRNA from 1 species
GACGAACGCUGGCGGCGUGCCUAACACAUGCAAGUCGAACGAGAAUCUAGAAUCUGAUCCCUUCGGGGUGAAGAUUUUAGAGGACAGUGGCGGACGGGCGAGUAACGCGUGAGUAACCUGCCCAUAAGAGGGGGAUAACACAUUGAAAAGUGUGCUAAUACCGCAUAUUGUCAUUUAAUCGCAUGAUUGAAUGAUGAAAGAUUUAUCGCUUAUGGAUGGACUCGCGUAAGAUUAGCUAGUUGGUGAGGUAAUGGCUCACCAAGGCGACGAUCUUUAGCCGAACUGAGAGGUUGAUCGGCCGCAUUGGGACUGAGACACGGCCCAGACUCCUACGGGAGGCAGCAGUGGGGAAUAUUGCGCAAUGGGGGAAACCCUGACGCAGCAACGCCGCGUGAAGGAAGAAGGUCUUCGGAUUGUAAACUUCUGUCGCAAGGGAAGAAAAAAAUGACGGUACCUUGUGAGAAAGCCACGGCUAACUACGUGCCAGCAGCCGCAGUAACA